rnacentral:ncRNA from 1 species
ACGCUCGGGAGCCUGACAUUCAUAGGCGCUGAGGCUACGGCCUCACCCGGCGU